rnacentral:lncRNA from 1 species
AUGCAGAUCUUCGUGAAGACCCUGACAGGCAAGACCAUCACUUUUGAGGUCGAGCCCAGUGACACCAUCAAGAAUGUCAAGGUCAAGAUCCAAGACAAGGAAGGCAUCCCAGUUGACCAGCAGAGGCUGGUAUUUGCCGGCAAACAGCUGCAGGAUGGACGCACCCUUUCCAACUACUACAUCCAGAACCAUUCCACCUUGUACCUGGUGCUGCGUCUGCGAGGUGGCAUCCUUGAGCCCUGCCAGUGUCAGCUUGCCCAGAAGGACAAGUAACAAGAUGAUCUGCUGCAAGUGCUACACAUGCCUGCACCCUCGUGCAGUCGACUGUUGCAAGAAGUGGGGCCAUACCAACAACCUGCGCCCCCAAAACAAGGUCAAAUGA